rnacentral:lncRNA from 1 species
GGCUUGUGUCUAUGUCAGUGUUUAGAAAGUGAUAUACAUACAUGAAUGUAUAUGAUGCAAUAUAUGCCAUACAUACAUAUAUUUGUGUGAAGUCAUAAUAAGUUUCUGGAUGUCAAACAAAAUGGAAAUUGAGUUUUCUAAGAAGGUAAUGUUACUCAUCUUUGGUUCUUACCAUUGCUUCCUUUCUUCUCAAUGUUCAGGGUUGAACAUCCCUAGUUCCUUCAAAGCAUCUUCUAGGGCAUGGACUAAAGACCUGUCGCCAUCCUGGAUGCCCUCUGCUGGACAGUCUUUAGAUUCUCAAAGGGAUGCUAGGAUGUCUAGAGACAAUGGCAGAGAUGGAAGAACAUUUGCUUCCAGGAUUCUGCUACAGAAAACAAAUACUCUCAAAGGCUUUAACAACAAGAAUUGUUCUCUGAAUGUCCACAGAGUCAUUGGAAAAGGACUUCACUUGGAAGUAAUUGGCUUCCUGACAUGUGGGUGCUUCGCACAAUAUUGGGAACAUAAUAAGUCCUUAAUAAAUAUGUGUUUUGAGGAACAGGAAAUGAAACAAAGGGGAAAAUGAAGAAAGAAGGAAAAGAAAAAGAGUACAGUGAGAACUAAGCUACUCUGAGAAUGUGCUAAAAGCUAUUGCAUGCGAAGAUAUAAAUGAAAUUAAAAAACAUCAAUAGUCCUUUCCAGGAGGAAUGGAAAUAAUAUCUCUGUAAUUUCAUGGUAUAGAAUGUUUUGAUCUCACAUUUGGGGGAAGUGAUUAAAGUCAUCAAAAGAAGAAACAGUUACUU